ACCAUUGGUUACAACCCAUUCCGCUGUGUUGCCAAAUUUUUAAGCAGUAUCGAAACGCGGCAGAUUUAAAAACAUGUCAAAAUAUGUUGUUUUACUUUACAGGUUCUUAAAGUGAAUCAAAUCUAUUUUUUCUAAUUUGAUAGUUGCUUGUAUAAUAUAAUAUAUUCCAGUUAGUUAUCCAGUAGAUAAGCUUUAAAAGUAAGUUUGGAUUCCGAACACACCUGAUUUUUGUGUUUAUUUUUAUAAUUUCAGCUCCUAACCUAACAUAAUUAGAUUCAAAGAUGAUUUUAUCGUUUUUAUUUCCAUUUUGGAAGAGGGCAUGAAGAAAAUUUACAGAUAUGACAAACAUCUAGCUAGAAGAUGGAAUCCCGCGUUCUUAAAAUAAAAAAAGCUAGUUCCAGAAGUAAGCUACCAAUAAUAAACUAGAGAAUGUAUUACAAGAAAGAACAACGCUAAUACUCAACAUAGCUCAAUUGCUUCAGAUAGAAAAAGAGGAGGAAAGGGUACAACACAAGCGUGCCAGAGAAAAUGAAAGGGCAGAAGAGAGACACAAAAUUCAUUGAUUUAUUAAAUUUACAAAUUAAAUUAUACAAAGGACAAUUAAAUAAAAAAUUAAAAAAUGA